UAGCAGUGAGGAAUAUUGGUCAAUGGGCGAGAGCCUGAACCAGCCAUCCCGCGUGCAGGAUGACGGCCCUACGGGUUGUAAACUGCUUUUCUGCAAGAAGAAUGGUCAUUACGAGUAGUGAUUUGACGGUAUUGCAGGAAUAAGCAUCGGCUAACUCUGUG
rnacentral:rRNA from 1 species